UACGUAGGGGGCAAGCGUUGUCCGGAUUUAUUGGGCGUAAAGAGCGUGUAGGCGGCUUCACAGGUCCGCUGUGAAAACUCGAGGCUCAACCUCGAGAUGUCGGUGGAAACCGUGUGGCUAGAGUCCGGAAGAGGAGAGUGGAAUUCCCCGGUGUAGCGGUGAAAUGCGCAGAUAUCGGGAAGAACACCCGUGGCGAAGGCGGCUCUCUGGGACGGUACUGACGCGUGAGACGCGAAAGCGUGGGAGCGACAGG
rnacentral:rRNA from 1 species